rnacentral:rRNA from 1 species
UGAGGAAUUUUCCACAAUGGGCGAAAGCCUGAUGGAGCAAUACCGCGUGAGGGAUGACGGUUUUCGGAUUGUAAACCUCUUUUAAAUAGGAAGAUUAUGACGGUACUAUUUGAAUAAGCAUCGGCUAACUACGUGCCAGCAGCCGCGGUAAUACGUAGGAUGCAAGCGUUAUCCGGAAUUACUGGGCGUAAAGCGUGUGUAGGUGGUGCGUUAAGUUAAAUGUUAAAUCCUCAGGCUCAACUUGGGGGCUGCAUUUAAUACUGGCGCGCUUGAGGAUGGUAGAGGUAAGCGGAAUUAGCGGUGUAGCAGUGAAAUGCGUAGAUAUCGCUAGGAACACCAAUGGCGAAGGCAGCUUACUGGAACAUACCUGACACUGAGACACGAAAGCGUGGGGAGCGAACGGG